rnacentral:rRNA from 1 species
AUAAGCUAUUAAGGGCUAAUGGUGGAUGCCUUGACUGUAAGAGGCGAUGAAAGACGUAUUAGGCUGCGAUAAGCCUCGGGGAGCUGCCAAAGAGCUUUGAUCCGGGGAUUUCUGAAUGGGGCAACCCAAUAUAAUGAGAAUUAUAUUACCCUACGGGGAGCGAACCUGGUGAAGUGAAACAUCUCAGUAGCCAGAGGAAGAGAAAUCAAUUGAGAUUCCGUCAGUAGCGGCGAGCGAACGCGGAUUAGGACAAACCCAAUGCUUGCAUUGGGGGUUGUAGGACUAUAAUGUGUAGUUAAAGAGAAUAGAUGAAUUAGUUGGAAAGCUAGAGCAUAGAAGGUGAUACUCCUGUAAUUAAAAUUCUCAAUAACGCUAAUAGUAUCCUGAGUAGGUCGGAACACGUGAUAUUUUGACUGAAGCUGGGGGGCCCACCCUCCAAUCCUAAAUACUACUUACAGAUCGAUAGUGAACAAGUACCGUGAGGGAAAGGUGAAAAGUACUGCAGCGAGCAGAGUGAAAUAGAACCUGAAACCAUUAGCUUACAAUCAUUCAGAGCCCUAUGAUUUAUCAGGGUGAUGGACUGCCUUUUGCAUAAUGAGCCUGCGAGUUGUGGUGUCUGGCAAGGUUAAGCCAAGUGCGAAGCCGUAGCGAAAGCGAGUCUUAAUAGGGCGACAUAGUCAGAUGCUGCAGACCCGAAACGAAGUGAUCUAUCCAUGAGCAGGUUGAAGCUGGUGUAAGAGCCAGUGGAGGACCGAACCCGCUGACGUUGAAAAGUCUUGGGAUGACUUGUGGAUAGGGGUGAAAGGCCAAUCAAACUUCGUGAUAGCUGGUUCUCUCCGAAAUAUAUUUAGGUAUAGCCUUGUGUUGUAGCAUAUAGGGGUAGAGCACUGAAUGGGCUAGGGCUGCUUACCGCGGUACCAAACCCUAUCAAACUAUGAAUACUAUAUGUGGAAUCACAGGAGUCAGGCGGUGGGUGAUAAAAUCCGUCGUCAAGAGGGGAACAACCCAGACUAACAGCUAAGGUCCCUAAGUUACAUCUAAGUGGAAAACGAUGUGGAGUUACUGUGACAACCAGGAGGUUGGCUUAGAAGCAGCCAUCCUUUAAAGAAAGCGUAACAGCUCACUGGUCUAGUGAUUCUGCGCGGAAAAUAUAACGGGGCUAAGAUGUACACCGAAGCUUUAGAUUCAAUUUUUAAUUGAGUGGUAGGAGAGCGUUCUAUUCAGCGUUGAAGGUAUACCGGUAAGGAGUGCUGGAGCGGAUAGAAGUGAGCAUGCAGGCAUGAGUAGCGUUAAAACAGGUGAGAAUCCUGUUCGCCGAAAACCCAAGGUUUCCUACGCGAUGCUCGUCAUCGUAGGGUUAGUCGGGUCCUAAGUCGAGUCCGAAAGGGGUAGACGAUGGCAAAUUGGUUAAUAUUCCAAUACCAACAUAUAAGCGCGAUGUGGGGACGCAUAGAGUUAAUCGAGGUCACGGAUGGAAGUGUGGCUCGAAGGAUGUAGGUUGUUAAGUAGGCAAAUCCGCUUAACGUUAGACCGAGAUCUUACAGGCUCUUGACACUCUUCGGAGGAGAUGGAGAAUCGAUGAUACUGUCGUGCCAAGAAAAGCCACUAAGUAUAUUAUAUGUUGCCCGUACCGUAAACCGACACAGGUGGGUGGGAUGAGUAUUCUAAGGCGCGUGGAAGAACCCUCUUUAAGGAACUCUGCAAACUAGCACCGUAUCUUCGGUAUAAGGUGUGCCUACUUUGGUAUAUGGACUUGCUCCAAAAAGCUAAAGAGGUUGCAACAAAGAGUCCCUCCCGACUGUUUACCAAAAACACAGCACUUUGCUAACACGUAAGUGGAUGUAUAAGGUGUGACGCCUGCCCGGUGCUCGAAGGUUAAUUGAUGAUGUCAGCGCAAGCGAAGCAUUUGAUCGAAGCCCGAGUAAACGGCGGCCGUAACUAUAACGGUCCUAAGGUAGCGAAAUUCCUUGUCAGUUAAAUACUGACCUGCAUGAAUGGCGUAACGAGAUGGGAGCUGUCUCAAAGAGGGAUCCAGUGAAAUUGUAGUGGAGGUGAAAAUUCCUCCUACCCGCGGAAAGACGGAAAGACCCCGUGCACCUUUACUACAGCUUGACACUGUAGCUUGGAUAUUCAUGUGCAGGAUAGGUGGGAGGCUAUGAUGACUAGACGCCAGUAGAGUCGGAGCCAUCCUUGAGAUACCACCCUUGAAUAUUUGAGUUACUAACUGCGAUGAGUUAACCUCAUUCAGGACAAUGUCUGGUGGGUAGUUUGACUGGGGCGGUCGCCUCCUAAAUAGUAACGGAGGCUUACAAAGGUUAGUUCAGAUGGGUUGGAAAUCCAUCGUUGAGUAUAAUGGCAUAAACUAGCUUGACUGUGAGACCAACAAGUCGAACAGAGACGAAAGUCGGUCAUAGUGAUCCGGUGGUUCUGCGUGGAAGGGCCAUCGCUCAAAGGAUAAAAGGUACGCCGGGGAUAACAGGCUGAUCUCCCCCAAGAGCUCACAUCGACGGGGAGGUUUGGCACCUCGAUGUCGGCUCAUCGCAUCCUGGGGCUGUAGUCGGUCCCAAGGGUAUGGCUGUUCGCCAUUUAAAGCGGUACGCGAGCUGGGUUCAGAACGUCGUGAGACAGUUCGGUCCCUAUCUUCCGUGGGCGUAGGAAAGUUGAAGAGAUUUGUCCCUAGUACGAGAGGACCGGGAUGAACCAACCACUGGUGUACCAAUUGUUCUGCCAAGAGCAUCGUUGGGUAGCCACGUUGGGAUGUGAUAAGAGCUGAAAGCAUCUAAGCUCGAAGCCAACUCUAAGAUGAACUUUCCCUGAAGUUCCCAGCAAGACUAGCUGGUUGAUAGGCUGGAUGUGUAAUGGGUGUAAGCCCUUUAGCUGACCAGUACUAAUAGAACGUUUGGCUUAUUUUA